ensembl:lncRNA
CCUUUUCCCGGACCCGGUGGAGGGCCCUCUAGUUUCAUCGCGAGCCGCCCGGUCCCCCCGCCCUCUGAGGGGCACCUGCGCAGGUACCCUUGAGUUUUGGAGAUAUUCUGCUUUUGUCCUUGUUACCGUGAGUUAGUUAACAACUUACUUUGGGGGAUGAGCACAUCCUGUUGAUUGAAUAGAAACCCAGAUAUGAGAAGAAGCAGUGUACUCGAAGAAUCUCUCACCUACAGGGUCCAGAACCAGUUCAAAGACUCCUGGAAAAUGGUUCAGUGACUGGAAAAGAGGAGUCUGAGAAAUCCUCUUCCAGAGUUCUAGAAUGGAGAUGGAAGGGGACCCAGAGAUGCAAAGAAAUGGGGAAAUCCAGAAUGAUGACAUAAGUGCACUACCAAAUGAGAUGUUGGCUGAGGAGCCAGAGGUGGUCCUGAUAGCACCUCCCCAGGUCCAGGUGCCACCAGAGAGCUUCAAAGACUCUGAAGAAGACCUGGAGACCGUG